rnacentral:rRNA from 1 species
UACGGGAGUGGAAAGCGUUAUCCGGAAUUAUUGGGCGUAAAGCGUCCGCAGGCGGCCUUGUAAGUCUGUCGUUAAAGCGUGGAGCUCAACUCCAUUUAAGCGAUGGAAACUACAAGGCUUGAGUGUGGUAGGGGCAGAGGGAAUUCCCGGUGUAGCGGUGAAAUGCGUAGAUAUCGGGAAGAACACCAGUGGCGAAGGCGCUCUGCUGGGCCAUAACUGACGCUCAUGUACGAAAGCCAUGGGAGCGAAAGGG